rnacentral:tmRNA from 1 species
GGGGGCGUUUUUGGAUUCGACGGGGAUAGUUCGAGCACCUGUAGCGGGUAGUGGGGCUGCGUCCACUUCAUCAACGCGAACGCCAAUUAACUGGCAAACAACAACCUAAACUCGCUUUCGCAGCUUAAUAACCUGUGACGCGGCUUCUACCCUGCAUCGCCCAUGUGCCGGGAUAGGGGCUCAACCUUAGUGGGAUACGCCGUCUAGUCUCCGCCUGGGGCUAGCGGAAGAAGACAAUCAGGCUGACCCGAAGGGAAUCCGGUGACAGGGAGUCUCUAGGGUGACAUCAAAUCUGUCACUACACCCGUAGAAGCCGGUGUGGCGUUAUCUUCGGACACGGGUUCGACUCCCGUCGCCUCCAUAC